rnacentral:lncRNA from 1 species
CACGCAUUCCGUCCAGUGGAGCCAGCUCACUUCUGCAAAUAGAGGAAAAAUUGACUUUCUGAUUUGGAGUGUUUCUACAACUAAGAAGAAUCACUCCAGUGAUUGUUCUAAAAAUAUUCUGGAGGCAGCACGUUCUUGAAGGCCUCGGGAUUCUGAGCGUCCCUUAAUUGUACUUUUUAUGUAAUCUCUCUGGAUCGUGUUUAAAAAAAAAUCACUUAAGCUUGCGUGGUCAUCCUCCUCCCCCCGUCACCCCACAUAAGUGUUGCUGCUGCAUGAGAGAGUGGCAUACGCAGCAGAAAUUGUAUUUUUAUCUCUUUGACUUCAGGAAGUAUAUUUGUUUUUCAUCUCCUGCAGCCGCCGUUGCAGGGCUCACAGCUGAGCCACCAAAUCUAGGGCAGCCCCUGACAUCCCUGCCUUAGUGGCCAAGCCCAGCUCUGGAGGGAAGUCACUCGGAGUUUUUUUUUUUUUUUUUUUGGUGGAGGGCUGUGGGCAGGCAGGGGGUUGCUGACAAAUGCAGUCCCCCUGCCCCCUCUGCCAUUUCAGGCUGCCUUCCCCCUUCACAAGGCGCGGAGUUCCCUAGGAGCCUGGAUUCUCAGCUUCAGGCAACUCUGGAAUUCAAAUGAUUUCUACAAUGAUGAAAUUGACUGGGAUUCCACAGCUUCUUUAUUGCCAGAAGUAGAUGGUGUGGGCCACUCCUCUUCUCUCUGUCUUUUCAGUUCUCUCCACCUCUUUCUCCCUUUCCCACUCUCUUCCUGACUCCCCACUUUCUCUUUCAGUCUAUUUUCUUUAGAUUUAGGGGCAGUGCCCACAAGGAAGCCAGUGUUUAAGUUGACGGGUGUGGCCCAGGGCUGCCCACUUUUGGGACAGUUGCUAUGUGGACUGGCUCAUCCUUUGCUGGGGAGAUGUCCUGUGCAUUGUAGAUGUGCAGUGGCAUCCCUGGCCUCUCCCCACUAGAUGCCAGUAGCACCCCAAGCCUAAGCCCCUCACUCUUGACAAUCACAAAUAUCUCCAAAUAUUGCCACAGGUUUCCUAGAGGGGCAAAACAGCCCUCAGUUGAGAACCACUGUUCUAGCCUGUUUUUUCUAACUGACAACAACCCAGAAAAAGCCUGGGGGAAUAUUAGUAUCUAUUUUGAGGCUCAAGAAUAAUCAAUAAUAAAAGAGUAGAAUCAACGGCCUUGAAAAUUGGGACUGAAUUUCCAUUGUUAGAUUUUACCCCCAAAGUAUAUUUUAAAAAGAAGUAACAGGAUGACCCUGAUUGGAGGGUGACCCCCCGUGUGGCUGAAGCGGGCAGUGGGAGUGGAGGUGGUGAGCUGUCUGUCACAGUCGCACCUGUAGGAGUUGGAAUGGCCAGGUAGGUCAGACAUCUGUACCUUCAAACACUCACGCAGUUUUUCUCUGAAAUAUUUCCCAAUGCUGAGCUUUAGGACAACUCUUCUUUCUAGAAUUAGCUUACUGAUAGCCUUAUUCGUGAACGGAUGCUUUUGAGAAAUUUGCCAGUGGUUUUGGCAGUGUGUGUUGGAACUUUCUCAGUUUUACUGCCCUUCCUCCCUCCUUUCCUUCCUUCCACUUCCCUCCUUCCCUUAGAGAUUUUUCUCCCCAUUGUUAGGAAUGGGACCUAGCUAAAAAAACAACAAAACAAGACAAAAAAAGGCACAGACGGCCGGGUGUGAGCACCUGUGCCCGGCCCAAGUGCCUUGUUUUAAAGACAUAUGCUAUAACUGUUUCCAUGUUAUGUGGCUUUAAAUGUUGGCUCAUUACUGGGACACCCAGUAGGGUCAGGUGCCAGCAUCCAUCAGCAAAACCUGUCUUUGGGAAAUCUAGAAUUGGAUUGUCAGCAGGUGCUGUGCUGGGCUUCCUUGGAGUGCCUUGAGAGUAAUUUCCUGGGCUUAGCCCACACUCCUGCUUCUGCCAGCCAGCCCAGCCAGCCUUGAGGUGCUCCUGCCACUUGGAAUUCACAGAACUCCACCUCCCCUGGGCCUGGACCUCUAGGCUUCAGGUUCCCUAGUGCCCCUAGUCCCCUACAGGGGUCGUCUUGGGAGCCUCCUUGCUCCAGGUCACCCAGUAUGGGCAGCUGUUUCCCAGCCCUUCUCAUCCCCCACUCUACCUCGUGCACUCCCCUCUGGCUUUGUCACCAGCCUGGCCUCCUCCUGCCCCUUGGUGUCGAUGAUGCCUUUAUCCUGCCCUCAUGGGUGGGGGGCAGUCCUGGGAGAACCAAUGGGCACAGCUGCUGAGGACCACAGGCUGGAGCCAGCGGUGUGAUUGGAUCUAGCUGCUGACCCAGUAGCCACCGUGCUGGGGUGUUGGUGUCUGGAGAGGGCUGUGUUAGGAGCGUGGGUGUAACUCCUUGUUGACAUUAGUUUCUCUCCUGUACACUGUGUGUGUGUUUGUGUGGGGGUGUGUGUGUGCGCUAUGUGGACACACACCGCCCCCUGCAUUUUCUUGUGAACCUGCAUGUGUGUGUGCAUGUAGUGUGCAUGCAGCUUCUCCCUUCCAUAACCUCCCAUGGUGGCGUUCGGUGCAUCUUAGAGUCCUCUGAUGUUCUAGCGGCACCAGGCAGCUCGGCUGCGCAUCCGGGCACCCGGUAACGUCGGCACUGUCAGGCUGUGCCUGGCGAGAUGACCACGUCCCGGCAGCCAGCAGCGGCUGGAGGAAGCUUGGCACUGUGGCAGAGGCAAAGCGCCGCUGAAGUGCCGCAGGUUUUUCAUAUGGAAAUGUGAAAUAAUGGGGUGAUUAAAUAGAGCUGUAUAUUAAAGUACAUCUGACAUUAGAAUUACCAUAAUGUGCUGUAGCCUUAGGCUGAGUACUUUAUUUGCCAUCUGCGUCGGCCCAAAAUCCCCCGGGGAAGCGCUAAAAUAUUCUGAAUAAACUCAGCUCGAGUUCUUAUUGAGAGUAAAAUACCAUUUGUGGCACGUCGUAUUGAUUCGUCUUAAUUGUGGUGCAGAAAAGAACAUUCACUGGCUGAUGACUUUUGUGCUCGGUGACAAGCUGGCUGGAGUUACUCUAGCACUGCAGUUGGUUAACCUGGGCCGACGGCGGACUUGGCCAGGCGGGCACCUGGGCUCCAGCCGCAGGAGCCAGCCAUCCCCCGCCCCAAGCCGGUGGCACAGCUGGGGCUCCCCGCCAGUCCCCGGCCCUCCUCCUGGGAGAGGGUUGGGGAGAAGGGAGCCCAUUGCAAGGGGCAGAGGAAAUUCACACCCUGCGCCUCAGGCCUCUCCCUAUGGCCAGCCUCGUCCUUCCCCAGAAAGACAAACUGACCUGCUGGGGACAGAGAGGCCACGGUUUCAGCCUCAGCCCCAGCCCCAGCCCCAGCCCCAGCCCCAGGCCAGCCCUUGGUUGGAGAGAUGUACUCUGCAUAUCGAAGGAAAUAAAACUAACAAAAGAAAGGAAAAGAAAAAA